CUAGUCUCUACUUCUGUGGAGGGAGAGGGAGGCUCCACCUUUCAAAUGAAUGACAGCUCCAGUCUGCAGAAAAGUUUGCUAUUGUCUAAAGAAGCAGUCUUGGUGAAGAAUGGGACUGAGAAGUAGAAGCAACAGCAGUUUAUGGGACUUAUGCCACUUGGAGCACACACUGAAGACGUGAACAGCUUUGGAGUUCCUGGACCACGCUUUCUACCACUACCGCGGAGCUUUUCUUCUUGUCCUAAAGCUGCCUCAGUUCCAGGUGAGCAUGCCGUCCCAUCAUGGCAACCACCAUCAGCAAGGAAUGCAAGACCCAAUCAGACCAGAAAAGCCACAGCCAUCACCUCCUCCUGAGCCUCCUUUCUCAACAUGCCCUUU